GGCCCAUUGGUGAAAUUCGGAAUAACACACUGCCCUUUCACGGCAGCAUUUGCGGGAUCGUGCCCCGCAUGGGUCACCA
rnacentral:tRNA from 1 species